GAUGAACGCUGGCGGCGUGCCUAACACAUGCAAGUCGAGCGUGAUUUAUGAGGACGAAACUUCGGUCUAGGAAUCAUAAUGAAAGCGGCGGACGGGUGAGUAACGCGUAGGCAACCUGCCCUUGACACAGGGAUAGCCUCGGGAAACCGGGAUUAAAACCUGAUGACGCCAAACAGUCACAUGGCUGUUUGGCCAAAGAUUUAUCGGUCAAGGAUGGGCCUGCGUCUGGUUAGUUAGUUGGUGGGGUAACGGCCUACCAAGACGACGAUCAGUAGCCGACCUGAGAGGGUGAUCGGCCACAUUGGAACUGAGACACGGUCCAAACUCCUACGGGAGGCAGCAGUGGGGAAUAUUGCACAAUGGGCGAAAGCCUGAUGCAGCAACGCCGCGUGAGCGAUGAAGGCCUUUGGGUCGUAAAGCUCUGUCCUUGGGGAAGAAACAAAUGACGGUACCCAAGGAGGAAGCCUCGGCUAACUACGUGCCAGCAGCCGCGGUAAGAC
rnacentral:rRNA from 1 species